rnacentral:pre_miRNA from 1 species
CAGAAAUGGGAUUUCCUUGCAGUCCAAAAACAUGAACUGAAUGAUCAUUGGAUGCAAUUUUGUUCUUUGUUUUGGACUGAAGGGAGCUCCUAAUUCUU